rnacentral:rRNA from 1 species
AAAGUACGUGAAAGUGUUGAAAGGGAAGCGCUUAUGACCAGACUUGGGCUUGGUUGAUCAUCCUGGGUUCUCCCUGGUGCACUCUUCCAGUUCAGGCCAGCAUCAGUUCGCUGCGGGGGAUAAAAGCUUUAGGAAUGUGGCUCCUUCGGGAGUGUUAUAGCCUAUUGCAUAAUACCCUGCUCCGGACUGAGGUUCGCGCAUCUGCAAGGAUGCUGGCGUAAUGGUCAUCAGCGACCCGUCUUGAAACACGGACCAAGGAGUCGUCUUCGUAUGCGAGUGUUCGGGUGUUAAACCCCUACGCGUAAUGAAAGUGAACGCAGGUGAGAGCUUCGGCGCAUCAUCGACCGAUCCUGAUGUUCUCGGAUGGAUUUGAGUAAGAGCAUACGGGGCCGGACCCGAAAGAAGGUGAACUAUGCCUGUAUAGGGUGAAGCCAGAGGAAACUCUGGUGGAGGCUCGCAGCGGUUCUGACGUGCAAAUCGAUCGUCAAAUAUGGGCAUGGGGGCGAAAGACUAAUCGAACCUUCUAGUAGCUGGUUUCCGCCGAAGUUUCCCUCAGGAUAGCUGGAGCUCGGACG